rnacentral:rRNA from 1 species
GAAUAUUGGACAAUGGGCGAAAGCCUGAUCCAGCCAUGCCGCGUGUGUGAAGAAGGUCUUCGGAUUGUAAAGCACUUUAAGUUGGGAGGAAGGGCAGUAAGCGAAUACCUUGCUGUUUUGACGUUACCGACAGAAAAAGCACCCGGCAACUCUGUGCACGCCGCCCCGGGAAGACAGAGGGUGCAAGCGUUAAUCGGAAUUACUGGGCGUAAAGCGCGCGUAGGUGGUUCGUUAAGUUGGAUGUGAAAUCCCCGGGCUCAACCUGGGAACUGCAUCCAAAACUGGCGAGCUAGAGUAGGGCAGAGGGUGGUGGAAUUUCCUGUGUAGCGGUGAAAUGCGUAGAUAUAGGAAGGAACACCAGUGGCGAAGGUGACCACCUGGGCUCAUACUGACACUGAGGUGCGAAAGCGUGGGGAGCAAACAG